rnacentral:lncRNA from 1 species
AUUAGGACAAUUACGGUAAUUUGUAUGUUAAAUGUGUAUAAGUGUAACGCGUUUGUGUAGGCUCGUCUAUGAACUCCCAUUUUUGUUUGUAUAGAAGCAAACGGUUGGCACUGUGAUCUUUCAGAGGGAGGAGUUUUGAACAGCUAACAUGUACGGUUAUCAUAUAUUAUUCAAAUAUGUCAAUUAUUGAAUGCAACACAUUACAGUCAUAAAAAUGAAUUGGUAACAAUAUGUGCAUCAUUUAAGAGUUUGGAAGUGUCUUAAGUUAAUAAAAUAUAAAUGCAUGCCAAUUUGAUAAAAUUCAUUAUUCUGCAGUAGUCAAUAUACGCAUGUGCAAACAAAUUUUAUUGGAUUUAAAGCAUGGGUUUAUUCACAAAGUGAAAGAAGCACGUCAUUCUAAGAUUGAAGAUAAUAUAUCUUGUCAUAUUGGGGC